AAGACCUAAAUGGAUAGCUGUUGGCAAUCCUAAAUGAAGAUUUUUUGACAGCCGGUUUAUUUGCUUCAAAGAAGAUAUUCUCUGAUUUGCUUGUUGCGCCUUUGCAAUAAGAGAGUAUCAGUAAAUUGCAGUGCGUAUGCUGGUUCUUAAGUCAUUUUGUAAACAUUCUUGUUUAUUUAUAAAUUUUAAUAAUAAUAAUUAUAAUAAACUAUUGAUGUUGUGAAACUAAAAGUUUUGGUGUUAUGUUCUUUAAUUUUCAUUAAAAUAAAUUAAACGAAAAUUGUCUUCACGCAAUGUUAGAAACAAAUAUAAAAAAUGAUUUGACAGUUGGUCUAACGGGACUAACGGGACUCUUGUCGAUUAGGACACAAAGCCUAAUAGUGUCUCACGAAACUGCGCUACUUCAAGUUGGGAAAUUGGAAAACAGAAUUGAGAACGUGUUUUUGUAUGAUUUUUAAAAUAAUUGGCAUUAGUGUUUCACAUUAAAAAUAUAUUUAUUAUUGCCAAUAAAUAAUGACUCCGUUGGACCUCAAAUGCAUAAACAUAAAACACGCAGUAAAAAUGGGGACAAUAAUCAAAAUAGUUUGUCUCAAGUCAAAGACAUUGAUAUUUCAAUGAUGGAAUGCGAUUUUGAAUUUUAUAAAUGUUUCCUUCCAAUUGUUGCAGUCGUCACCGUUUCAGCACUGGAGAAUAAAAAUUUGAUUACGAAGAAAAUAAAUUAAAAAUUGCUCCUCUGCAGUUACAAUAGCCCAGGAAUUCCCCAAAAACACAAAUAAAGUAUUAUUGGAAAGAGUAUGCCAAUUUUCGAUGUCAGGACAUUUCACAUGUCAAAACCACUGAAUAAUGAAAGAUUGAAGAUUUGUUAAUAUAAAAUGAUUCCUAAUGAAAAUUGACGAUUGAAAUUGUGAUAAUUAAAUUACUGCAAACGUAAUCAGAUUAUGGUUAUAAUUUAAAUUUUAUGAUAAAGAUGUCGGUUGUUUAUAACUCCAUUGUAAUUAUCAGUAACAAGUUGAUGUGUAGCAUAUGCUAUUAACUUACAAGCUGCUCUAUAUUGUUAUCAUAUGCUGAUGCUUUAAAGCAAUGUGUAACUUUGAUAUACAUUAUGAAACCAUACUAUGAUCAAAAAACAAAUACUGAAUUUAGUACUACGAAUUUAUUUCUCCAUAAGUCUCAUCUGCCGUGAUAUUUAAACAUCCCAGUCUUAAAGAAUGUUUAUAUGUAUUCCUGUUUAAAAAAUAUUGUUAUCUACUCACCAAGCAAGAGAAAACACACAUUAGUUUAUUGGAAUAAUUAUUAAAUUCAGCAUAAGAAAAUGAUUGAAUGCAACAACAACAUGAUCUUCAAAAAACAAAAACUUAAGCAAGUCAUCAAAGCUAAG